rnacentral:rRNA from 1 species
CUCGAGGCCAGAUCUUUCCGGUUGAUCCUGCCGGACCUGACUGCUAUCGGAUUGAUACUAAGCCAUGCGAGUCAUUGUAGUAAUACAAGGCAGACGGCUCAGUAACGCGUAGUCAACCUAACCUAUGGACGGGAAUAACCUCGGGAAACUGAGUAUAAUGCCCGAUAGAACAUUAUGCCUGGAACGGUUUAUGUUCCAAAUGAUUUAUCGCCGUAGGAUGGGACUGCGGCCUAUCAGUUUGUUGGUGAGGUAAUGGCCCACCAAGACUAUUACAGGUACGGGCUCUGAGUGGAGUAGCCCGGAGAUGGGUACUGAGACACGGACCCAGGCCCUAUGGGGCGCAGCAGGCGAGAAAACUUUGCAAUGUGCGAAAGCACGACAAGGUUAAUCCGAGUGGUUUCUGCUAAAGGAACCUUUUGUCGGUCCUAGAAACACCGAUGAAUAAGGGGUGGGCAAGUUCUGGUGUCAGCCGCCGCGGUAAAACCAGCACCUCAAGUGGUCAGGAUGAUUAUUGGGCCUAAAGCAUCCGUAGCCGGCUCUGUAAGUUUUCGGUUAAA